AUAUAUAUAUACGUUGAUUGUUGACUUUUUGUAUAUACUAGAUGAGUACUCGCACUACGUGCGGGCUUAUGUAUUACAAUUUACAAAUUGUUUUAUAUAAUGUCUGUUCAUAUAAAGUAAAGUUGAAUGCAUCGGUUUUGAACAUAAAUAUGAUUUGUAAUUGUUUUUGAAAAGUCCAACUAUAUUAGUUCAUCUGAAAAACGAAUGUGUUUAAGUUGUUUUUUAUUGUUGUUUUAGAUUCUCAGUUUUUUUAAAAAUAUUUUAUAUAUCCUUAUUUUUUUGGUUAUAUGUUUAGAUUGUGAGACGGUGAAAUUUUAAAAAAUUUCCUUCUUACACUAAAAAUAUAACAUGUCUUUAUUAACCAUGUCUCUGCAUAUUCAAUCUAAACAUAUUUAACUUGAGGUUCUUGGAAAGUUUAGUUAAGUUCUUGUCAUAAUCUUAUAUCCUACGUAUUAGUUAUAAAGAUAGCUCCUCAAACAUCUUUUAAAUUACUGGUUUUCUUAGCAUAAAUCUCGAAAAGCUUAGAUAUAUUGAAUCUGCAUAUUCAUUUAGUUUCUUUCAUAAUAAUCGUCUAAUUUUUAGGCAAGGAAUAUAUGUAGCAUGUUUGAAUUUUAUGAUCAUUUUAGCCACUUAAGUGGAUCUCAAAAUGAAAGAGGAUAUUUUGAAUUAAAAAAAUGUAAAAAGAGAGAUGGUUCAAAUUCUGAUUAAUUAUAUCUUCCUAUUUAAGUUGUUAUGUUGAAUUAAUUACUAUUUAUGUAUUACUUAUUUUAUGAAGUCUAGGUGGCAAGCUCUCAUGUGCUGAUGUGUCAAGUUGUGGAAGAGAGUUAGCCUCCUUUCAUAUAUAUGAUU
rnacentral:sRNA from 1 species